CGCCCUUGAGUUUGAUCAUGGCUCAGGACGAACGCUGGCGGCGUGCCUAACACAUGCAAGUCGAGCGAUGAAACCCUUCGGGGUGGAUUAGCGGCGGACGGGUGAGUAACACGUGGGUAACCUGCCUCAAAGAGGGGGAUAGCCUCCCGAAAGGGAGAUUAAUACCGCAUAACAUUAUUUCUUCGCAUGAAGAGAUAAUCAAAGGAGUAAUCCGCUUUGAGAUGGACCCGCGGCGCAUUAGCUAGUUGGUGAGGUAAUGGCUCACCAAGGCAACGAUGCGUAGCCGACCUGAGAGGGUGAUCGGCCACAUUGGAACUGAUAUACGGUCCAGACUCCUACGGGAGGCAGCAGUGGGGAAUAUUGCGCAAUGGGGGAAACCCUGACGCAGCAACGUUUUUUGUGUGAAGAAGGCCUUCGGGUUGUAAAGCUCUGUCUUCUGGGACGAUAAUGACGGUACCAGAGGAGGA
rnacentral:rRNA from 1 species